UGGAGCUUGCUCCAUGAUUCAGCGGCGGACGGGUGAGUAAUGCCUAGGAAUCUGCCCGGUAGUGGGGGAUAACGUUCCGAAAGGAACGCUAAUACCGCAUACGUCCUACGGGAGAAAGCAGGGGACCUUCGGGCCUUGCGCUAUCGGAUGAGCCUAGGUCGGAUUAGCUAGUUGGUGAGGUAAUGGCUCACCAAGGCGACGAUCCGUAACUGGUCUGAGAGGAUGAUCAGUCACACUGGAACUGAGACACGGUCCAGACUCCUACGGGAGGCAGCAGUGGGGAAUAUUGGACAAUGGGCGAAAGCCUGAUCCAGCCAUGCCGCGUGUGUGAAGAAGGUC
rnacentral:rRNA from 1 species